AGAGGGUGCAAGCGUUAAUCGGAAUUACUGGGCGUAAAGCGCUCGUAGGUGGUUAAUCAAGUUGACUGUGAAAGCCCCGGGCUUAACCUGGGAAGGCCAGCCAAAACUGAUUGACUAGAGUACAGUAGAGGGUAGUGGAAUUUCCGGUGUAGCGGUGAAAUGCGUAGAUAUCGGAAGGAACACCAGUGGCGAAGGCGACUACCUGGACUGAUACUGACACUGAGGGGCGAAAGCGUGGGGAGCGAACAGGAUUAGAUACCCUGGUAGUCCACGCCGUAAACGAUGAGAACUAGCCGUUGGGACCCCUUGAGGUCUUAGUGCGCAGCUAACGCGUUAAGUUCUCCGCCUGGGGAGUACGGCCGCAAGGUUAA
rnacentral:rRNA from 1 species